rnacentral:rRNA from 1 species
AACGAACGCUGGCGGCAGGCUUAACACAUGCAAGUCGAACGAAGUCUUCGGACUUAGUGGCAGACGGGUGAGUAACGCGUGGGAACCUACCUUUAGGUACGGAACAACAGUUGGAAACGACUGCUAAUACCGUAUGUGCCCUAUGGGGGAAAGAUUUAUCGCCUAAGGAUGGGCCCCGCGUUGGAUUAGCUAGUUGGUGGGGUAAAGCCUACCAAGGCGACGAUCCAUAGCUGGUCUGAGAGGAUGAUCAGCCACACUGGGACUGAGACACGGCCCAGACUCCUACGGGAGGCAGCAGUGGGGAAUAUUGGGACAAUGGGCGCAAGCCUGAUCCAGCCAUGCCGCGUGAGUGAUGAAGGCCCUAGGGUUGUAAAGCUCUUUCAGCGAGGAGGAUAAUGACGUUACUCG